GACGAACGCUGGCGGCGUGCUUAACACAUGCAAGUCGAACGGAAAGGCCCUGCUUUUGUGGGGUGCUCGAGUGGCGAACGGGUGAGUAACACGUUAGUAACCUGCCCUUGACUUUGGGAUAACUUCAGGAAACUGGGGCUAAUACCGGAUAGGAGCUCCUGCUGCAUGGUGGGGGUUGGAAAGUUUCGGCGGUUGGGGAUGGACUCGCGGCUUAUCAGCUUGUUGGUGGGGUAGUGGCUUACCAAGGCUUUGACGGGUAGCCGGCCUGAGAGGGUGACCGGCCACAUUGGGACUGAGAUACGGCACAGACUCCUACGGGAGGCAGCAGUGGGGAAUAUUGCACAAUGGGCGGAAGCCUGAUGCAGCAACGCCGCGUGCGGGAUGACGGCCUUCGGGUUGUAAACCGCUUUCGCCUGUGACGAAGCGUGAGUGACGGUAAUGGGUAAAGAAGCACCGGCUAACUACGUG
rnacentral:rRNA from 1 species